ACCUGAGAGGGGGCAUAAGGAGGACAGCUACGCACCACGCAGCCCACAGCCUGGCUCCCCGGCUCCACCCCCUGCCGCCCUCCCGCCCACACCCCUGCUCCAGGGGCUGUGCACCGACCCCACUUCAAGGUCACACGGACUCAGGUUCAAAUCUUGGCUCUGCCACGAACGGGCCAUGCCAGCCUGGAGACGGCACUUAGUGCCCUGAGCCGAAAGUUCUCCAAGGCACCAACCAAUCGAGAAGAGACCCUGAAACACAGGCGCCCGUCUUCGUGAGUCUCCCCUGGGGUCCUGACCACCUCUAGGUGAGUACCAGCACCGCUAUGGGGACCUCGGCGGCAGCGGGGAGCAGCUGGGCAGGAGCUGGGCAGGGUCGGGGGCAGGGUGCCUGGUGUGGCCCGCGUGAGUCACUUUCUGCCAUGAGUCCCAGUUUUCCCAGCCUGAAAACAGAAGCUUGGCCCAGAAACUCCCACAGCCCCGCCCCCUCUGACACCCUAGCAUCCCGUGGCGUGGAGGCACUUGUUUGGAGGUUUAUGGCCAUCCUAAUGUCUCCUCCUGCCCGGGCAGCCCUUUUAUGUAGGAGUUUAUGACGCAUUCUCCCAUUCACGAGCUGGUGUGAUCUUCGACCCCGACGGAAAAUACUUUACCACUGUGACCUAGUCCUCGUACUUUGGUGGCAGAAGGACCUAAUCCCCAGCCUUAGAGAUGGGGAACCUGAGAGGCUGCCGGUGCUGGGCCCCCUCCCCGCCAUCACAGGCAGUUCAGCGGCCCCGCCAGGUCCCCUGACUCGCCUCCUGGGGGCUCAGCCAUCAGGCUUUGGAAGACGGGGUCGCUUGCAGAAAGCCCAGGCUUUGUUCAUUUCAGCCACACAGCGACCAAAGAACCCAGACUCCAAACCAGCCCGUGCCCCCUGUCUGGCCACCACCCGCAGCCUGUGGCCCACACCCCCGCCCCACCCUGUGUGGCUCCCGGGGGAGGAAAACAGAAGGGGUCUUCCGAUCAGAGGUCCGGGUCAGUGGGCCUGCCUGUCGGCCCCCGGCGGAACCAAGCCCCCUAUCUGCAUCAUCCUGCAUCACUGCUUAGAGGUUCCUGCCACGCUCUGACAACAGGACGUCACACCACCACAGAUCCCCUGCAAAGAGACGCAGAGGGUCGCCACCAGUGUCUGUCCUCAGGGCCGGGUGCUGUCUUCCGCAGGUGAUCCCUUUCGUUGUGCUAACAGAAGUCACCUGGUAGUAGCCCCGCGGUAGCCGGGCACCCAGUCAGCGUCAGUGAUGAUGAGCAGAGCAUCAGCUGCGAUUCGAGACACGCUAGCCUCCUGUGGGCCCCGGGCCACAGACGCCACGCAGGUUAUCACCUUCAGCUGUCACCACUGCCCCCAGCACAGAAGAGACCGGCCCUCAAGAGGUUCAAGGACGCUCUCAAGUUCACAGAGUUAGAGACUGCUGAGGCCCUCGGACCUGUCCGACCCCACACUCCGGCUCCGGAAAGAUGCUCCGCGCUACGCUCAGCAACCUGGCGAGAUGAAGGAACCGGAUGCUCCCCGCCACUGCCUGGCGAGCAGCUGUCCCGCCCUGGGAGCGCCGUGGACCCCGGGAGCGCCGUGGACCCGGGGAGCGCCGUGGGUGGGACGGCUUCCCAGGCUGGGGGAUGAGGGGUCUGGUUUCAAGAGGAAGUUCUGGAUGUGGCACAAAACAUGCACGUGCGUGCUCUCUAUCAGCCUACGCGCCCAGCGGGGGCCGCUCGAAGGGUCCGUUUCCCUGUCUGACAGCGCCGAGAACACCUUCUCCACAGCUCACCCACCCCGGGUCAAGAGGACAGUCUGCAGGCCCCAGGGGCCGGAACCACACUGCCGGCCAGCAUUUAUUCCAAGGCCGCCCUCCCUAUCUGGGCCACACCCAAACCAGAUCUCGCAGGAGGCUGGUGCCAGGCCCACGCCAGUUCCACCACACAAACGCUCCCCACCAAACUCCCAGCAACCGGAGGCCAAGUCCUUCUCCCCACCCUCACUGCCAGCCCUGGCCCGAGCGAGCACCACCUCAGCCCCGACAGCCCACCCUCCACACCACAGCCAUGGGAUCUUUAUUUAAGCAUCUUUCCCUGCCUGCCUUAGAGCCUUCCCAUGGAAUUCUGAAUAAAACCCAGAGUUCCCACCGACGCUGCAUGACAGCCCCGUCCCCACUCCGUCCCCGUCACCGGCCUCCAGGGCACGCUGACCUGAGCCCUCACCCCCUCGGGCGCUUUGUCCCUGCUGCUCCUCAGCCUCCACUCCUCUGCCCUGGGACCCCAGCCCAGGCAGCUCCUCACUGCAUCCCACUUAAGCUGCAAUGUCACCUCUUCACGGAACCUCUCCUGACCCCAUACUAGACGUGCCCCCUGGGUUCUCCCUGUCACAUCAUCUGGUUUUACUGCUGUCACAACCUCAUCACCCCUGGUGUUUUCAAGUUUGCUGUCUGUCCCCUGCAGCAGGAAAGCAUCCCAGGAGUUGGGACCACCAGACCUCAGAGCCCAGCAAAGUGCCGGGCAUGCAGCAGGCACUCCAUAAAUGCUGGCUAAAUAAACAGCUUAGCCCAACUGAACAGGCUCAGGGAGGGGGCAACUUGCCCAGGGGCCCACAGUCGGGAGGUGGCCCAACCAGGGCCAUCCACCUGAAGCCUGGGCCACCUUCUGUCAGUCACAGGGCCUGACUUAAGAAAUAUCUCCCAAAGAAGCCCUCUGCGUGCAAGCCCCCCUCGCCGGGCUCUCCGGGGCCUGAAGCGAUGACUCCACAGUCAGACCGUGGGGAGCUGCAUGGGGCGGCGGGUGGGCCUACCGCGUGAGCUGAGAAGGUUCAAUGGGAGAGAAGAGGAGCGGGUGUCCAGCCUGGGCCGACCCUCAUCCAGCCUCCCAGAGCACCUGCUGCCACGGGGCGCCCAGCACCUGCGAGUUAGGAGACCCAGCGCCAGGGAGCUCCGAACACAACAAGGGGCUUAGAGACUCGCCGCCCGCUGUGGAAUGCCGCACAGACAGAAUUCAUGAACGUUACUAUUUCAGUUCCGGCAUGACCAGCCCAGCAGGAAGACAGUCAAAUUCCAACACACCUCCCUCUAACGUGAGGUGAAGAAGGCCCAUCGCAAGACGGAAGAGGCAUUCAAGGCAAAGAGCCGCCAGGACAAGCGCCAGAAGGGGCCGUGGGCAUCACCGUGGUGGAACAGGCCCGCAAGACCAUCUCGACACCCGGGAAAUCACAAAGGUCAAGAGCUGCCCUCCUCAACAUCUAAAACUGCCCUCUUGUCCAAGAGAAGCAUCCCUGAAAUGAAAGGUAGCAUGAAAAUCGGGGGAGAGCAAGGCGAGGUUAAGUAAGAGGUGUCCGUAAUAUACAAAGAACUCAGAUCACAGCAAGUGAUGAAAGGAAAUGCCUACCGACCCUAACAGACAAAUGGGUAACAUACCAAAAAGGAAAUGUAACUGGUUAACAAAAAUGUGGGAAAGCACGAAUCUCUCAAGUAAUCAAAAAUUCAUUACAAACAACAAGCUGUCAUUUGGGAAAGGGCAAAUUUGGUAUUUACAAAAAUCCCACUUCGGAAAAUGGGCAGCUUCUUAUAAACAUCUAUUUGCCGGUGAUUCAGCCACUCCUAGGGACGUACCUGGGAGAAACGAAGCAAGUGUCUCUGUAAACGCUGGUACACAGAUAUUCCUAGAAGGUUUAUUCAUAAUAGCCCCAAACUGGAAACCAGGAGAGUGGACACGUGACACAGCCCCUCGGUGGAGGGUUACUGGCAGUAAAACCAAACUACUGAGCCACAUGAUACCACAUGACACCACGGGUGGAUCUCAGAGCCGGCUGAAGGCCGACACAGAAGGCUACAUACAGGGCUUCUGCCCACAGUGACAAAAAGCAGAUCAGGGGUGCCUGGGGGGCUCAGUCGGUUAAGCAUCUGCCUUCGGCUCAGGUCAUGAUCCCGGGGUCCUCGGAUCGAGCCCUGCGUCUGGCUCCCUGCUCAGCGAGGAGCCUGCUUCUCCUUCGCCCUCUGCCACUCCCCCUGCUUGUGCUCUCUCGCUCUCUCAAAUAAAUAAAUAAAACCUUAAAAAAAAAAAAAAAAGCAGAUCAGUGGUUGUCCCCACGCAUUGUUUCUCGUGCUGGUGGUUUCACAGGUCCAUACAGCCAGCAAAACUCAUCCAAGUGGCCACAUGGACCACUUUGUCUUACGUGAAUCACGCUCUAAUAAUGAUAAAAAGUUGUUAAGAGCCAAAGCUGGCAAGGGCAUGCUGCCCUGGGAUGCUCAUAUAUUGCUGGAGAACAAACCACUCUUGCCUUUGUGAAAAGUAAACGGACAUUCUCCUACUUCUAUGAAUCUACUUUAUGCAAGAGAAAUAAAAACAAACACAAAAAUAAAAGGCGUGUGCACAAACCU